GCUGGCGGCGUGCUUACACAUGCAGUCGAACGAUGAAGCCCAGCUUGCUGGGUGGAUUAGUGGCGAACGGGUGAGUAACACGUGAGUAACCUGCCCUUAACUCUGGGAUAAGCCUGGGAAACUGGGUCUAAUACCGGAUAGGAGCGUCCACCGCAUGGUGGGUGUUGGAAAGAUUUAUCGGUUUUGGAUGGACUCGCGGCCUAUCAGCUUGUUGGUGAGGUAAUGGCUCACCAAGGCGACGACGGGUAGCCGGCCUGAGAGGGUGACCGGCCACACUGGGACUGAAACACGGCCCAGACUCCUACGGGAGGC
rnacentral:rRNA from 1 species